GGUAAGACGUAGGACGCAAGCGUUAUCCGGAUUUACUGGGCGUAAAGCGCCUGUAGGCGGUCAAGUAAGUCGGAUGUGAAAGCCCCGUGCUCAACGCGGGGAAGCCAUUCGAUACUGCGUGACUAGAGAACGGCAGAGGGAAACGGAAUUUCUGGUGUAGCGGUAAAAUGCGCAGAGAUCAGAAAGAACACCGAUGGCGAAGGCAGUUUCCUAGGCCGCAUCUGACGCUGAGAGGCGAAAGCUAGGGGAGCGAACAGGAUUAGAGACCCUGGUAGUCCUAGCUGUAAACGAUGGAUGCUAGGUGUGGGCCGGAAAGGUCCGUGCCGGAGUUAACGCGAUAAGCAUCCCGCCUGGGGAGUACGGCCGCAAGGCUAAAACUCAAACGAAUUGACGGGGACCCGCACAAGCAGCGGAGCGUGUGGUUUAAUUCGAUGCUACACGCAGAACCUUACCUGGGCUUGACAUGUAGGUGGUAGUGAAGUGAAAGCGGAGCGACCCUUCGGGGAGCCUACACAGGUGCUGCAUGGCUGUCGUCAGCUCGUGCCGUGAGGUGUCGGGUUAAGUCCCGUAACGAGCGCAACCCUUGCCCUUAGUUACAAGUGUCUAAGGAGACUGCCGGUGACAAACCGGAGGAAGGUGGGGAUGACGUCAAGUCAGCAUGGCCCUUAUGUCCAGGGCGACACACACGCUACAAUGGUCGGUACAAUGGGCAGCGCAGCCGCGAGGUGAAGCGAAUCCCAACAAAGCCGAUCCCAGUUCGGAUUGCAGGCUGCAACCCGCCUGCAGAAGCCGGAGUU
rnacentral:rRNA from 1 species